rnacentral:rRNA from 1 species
CUACGGGACGCAGCAGUGAGGAAUAUUGCACAAUGGGGGGAACCCUGAUGCAGCAACGCCGCGUGGAGGAUGACGCAUUUCGGUGUGUAAACUCCUUUUAUAUGUCAAGAAAAUGACGGUAGCAUAUGAAUAAGCACCGGCUAACUCCGUGCCAGCAGCCGCGGUAAUACGGAGGGUGCAAGCGUUACUCGGAAUCACUGGGCGUAAAGGACGCGUAGGCUGUUUAGCAAGUCAGAUGUGAAAUCCAAUGGCUCAACCAUUGAACUGCAUUUGAAACUGCUAGACUAGAGUAUGGGAGGGGCAGAUGGAAUUAGUGGUGUAGGGGUAAAAUCCGUAGAUAUCACUAGGAAUACCUAAAGCGAAGGCGAUCUGCUGGAACAUUACUGACGCUAAGGCGUGAAAGCGUGGGGAGCAAACAGGAUUAGAUACCCUAGUAGUC